rnacentral:rRNA from 1 species
GACGAACGCUGGCGGCGUGCUUAACACAUGCAAGUCGAACGGAAAGGCCUGCUUUCCCUUGUGGAUUGCGGGUACUCGAGUGGCGAACGGGUGAGUAACACGUGAGUGAUCUGCCCCCAACUUGGGUAUAAGCCUGGGAAACUGGGUCUAAUUCCCGAUAGGACUGCAGGGUGGUGCCUGUGGUGGAACACGAUUUUCUAGUGGUUGGGGAUGAGCUCGCGGCCUAUCAGCUUGUUGGUGGGGUAAUGGCCUACCAAGGCGGCGACGGGUAGCCGGCCUGAGAGGGUGGACGGCCACAUUGGGACUGAGAUACGGCCCAGACUCCUACGGGAGGCAGCAGUGGGGAAUAGUGCACAAUGGGCGGAAGCCUGAUGCAGCGACGCCGCGUGGGGGAUGACGGCCUUCGGGUUGUAAACUCCUUUCGACCGCGAGGAAGCCACCUGGUUGGAAGGGUGGUGACGGUAGUGGUAGAAGAAGCACCGGCUAACUACGUG